rfam:Ixodes scapularis strain Wikel colony gcontig_1107728600938, whole genome shotgun sequence.
GCCUCGGUGGCUCCAAGGUGAGAGCGCCUGCCUACGGAUACCCAUGCAGCGGGUUCAAAUCCCGGCCGAGGUG